GUUGUGAUGCAGCAACAAAGCCCUCACUAGGCACCAAAAGACUUAAAAAUAGGCCAAAAAGAUUACCAGAUUUCCUUUUAGGUUAAUAUUAGGUGCCAUCUGUUUUUAUAGGGUUUGAACCUGUCAUGAUCUCUGAGCUACUAUACCAUUCUAGAGGUCCUAGAAAUCUAGUCAUCUUGCAGACAUUUCUUGUCCACUGAGAUCCGAGUGAAGUGAGGCAGGUGAGGUCAGUUGAUAUCUCAUGUGGAGGAUGGGAUCCCAGCUGCACAUGUGUACAUGCUCCGUGGAUUCCCCAAGAAUUGUGUAUAACCUCUUAAUGGUUCCCUCAUCGAAUGAACGGACCUGUUUGCAGACACGAGGAUCACAUGAUUGGAUGUUCAACAGCAAUGUGAAUGAUCAUAUUACAACUACAAGCAAAGAUAAGGACAACUCACAAACACAGAGUGGAGUGAAAAAUGCUGUUUCCAUUUAUACAAAGUUCCAAAGCCGGGAGAGCCAAUCCUUGGUCUUGGAAGUCAGGGCAGUGUUUACACUGGGGGCAGUGGGGACAAGGUUCAGGUGUGCUGGCAGUGUUGCUCCCUAUCUGGGUGUCAGCACACACGCAUGUGCAUAUGAUUCGUGCAAACCUCUGAACAGCACACUUGUGCACUUUGAUGUAUGUAUGCUGCACUUUAAUAAUAAUAAAAAAGGACGUGCCAUCUUUAUGCGUGUGCCCUGCUGAGGCAGGAGUGUUGGGCUCCGGAGGAGUUUGGGAUUCCAAACAGAAGGGCAGAGGGAAAGGAACUAAUAUUUAUUCAGUCCGUGGGAGAACUUUCUUUUUAGGCUCAGGAACAAAC
rnacentral:lncRNA from 1 species